rnacentral:rRNA from 1 species
AAGCUAUGAUGGAGGCGCGGCAUACAGCUCAGUAACACGUGGCUANNNGCCCUUGGGACAAGGACAACCCCGGGAAACUGAGGCUAAUCCUUGAUAGGUGAGAACUCCUGGAAUGGAUUCUUUCUCAAAAGAUGCUUUGAUCAUGCUUCUAGGCAUCGCCCAAGGAGGGGGCCGCGGCCGAUCAGGUUGUUGGUGAGGUAACGGCUCACCAAGCCUCUGACCGGUACGGGCCGUGAGAGCGGAAGCCCGGAGAUGGGCACUGAGACAAUGGCCCAGGCCCUACGGGGCGCAGCAGUCGCGAAAACUCCGCAAUACACGAAAGUGUGACGGGGCUAUCCCGAGUGCCAUCCGCUGAGGAUAGCUUUUCCCCAGUGUAUAAAGCUGGGAGAAUAAGGAGAGGGCAAGCCUGGUGUCAGCCGCCGCGGUAAUACCAGCUCUCCGAGUGGUGGGGAUGUUUAUUGGGCCUAAAGCAUUCGUAGCCUGCUAGCCAAGUCCUCCGUUAAAUCCACCGAUUCAAUCGUUGGGCUGCGGGGGAUACUGUCUAGCUAGGGGGCGGAAGAGGCCGACGGUAUCCCCGGGGUAGGGGUGAAAUCCUAUAAUCCCGGGUGGACCACCAGUGGCGAAGGCUGUCGGCUAGAACGCGCUCGACGGUGAGGGAUGAAAGCUGGGGGAGCGAACCGGAUUAGAUACCCGGGUAGUCCCAGCUGUAAACGAUGCAGGCUAGGUGUUGGCGCGGCUACGUGCCGCUCCAGUGCCGCAGGGAAGCCGUUAAGCCUGCCGCCUGGGAAGUACGGCCGCAAGGCUGAAACUUAA